UCUCUAAAAAAAAUCUAGGAUUCUGUUUUUUUAUUUUUAUUUUUAUUUUUGUGUAAAAAAACCAAGGAUUAUAGUAAGGAUUUCAAUUUACAAAUGGUUUUUCUGUUCAGAUUUUCUUUUUGUGAGUUUUGAGUAUGAAUUUGUAGCAUGAUCUUCCACUGCAUCAUCCAAAUUUUGCAUUUGUAAAUUGUCAAAGAAAAACGAAGUAUGAGGAAAUUAUAGGAGAUUGUGUCGGCUUUGGCCAUGAAGGGUAUUAGCAGGCUGUUCCCCCAUACAGAACCAGCAAUGCAAGAGCAGGAUGUGAUCAGUCACACCCGAAAAGAGGUUUGUUUCUCAAAUCACAUUCCUCAGUUUGAUCAUUAAUGUACAAUGGAAGGCUCUUCAAUAUGAUUUUCUAAUUUCUCCUUUCCAGCGUUCUCUUUUUUGUUUUUGGAGUAUGUAUUUGAUUUAUAUUUGAUUAUAGAAUAAAAAUUAAUAAACACGAGAUGCAGCAAUUAAUUUGCUUCCUUAUGAUAACACAUGUAUGAAAGUGCAUUCAAUUUCAAUGUGUGUAUGUGUGACAGGAUGUGCCUGCUUGCUGUUGUUUCUCGCGCUAUUUUUUUUUUUUUUUUGUGUGUGUUGAUUUGAUUAACAAUUCAAGUGUAUCUUUAUUUUGUUGGUGUGUGUUGGUUCGCAGCCAGUUUUAUUUAUUGGUUUUUUUAUUUGGAUUUAUAGCACUGAGGGUAUAGGUGAACGGUGAAGCGGUUUGUAUGGGCUCAUGUAUCUUAAACAUGUAGUGAGAAGUGAGGAUUUUGUUUUAGUGUUUUAGAUAAUCUGAAGGAAUAUGUAGAUACUAUGAUUUGGGGUUGCUUUCUUAAACCAUGAUAAAGCAGUCCAAGUAAUUUUAACAUAGAUAUCAUUUUUUAUGUAA